rnacentral:rRNA from 1 species
AGUGAACGCUGGCGGCAGGCCUAACACAUGCAAGUCGAACGGCAGCGCAGGAGAGCUUGCUCUCUGGGUGGCGAGUGGCGGACGGGUGAGGAAUACAUCGGAAUCUGCCUAUUUGUGGGGGAUAACCUCGGGAAACCGGGCCUAAUACCGCAUACGACCUACGGGUGAAAGCAGGGGACGUUCGGGCCUUGCGCAGAUAGAUGAGCCGAUGUCGGAUUAGCUAGUUGGAGGGGUAAUGGCCCACCAAGGCGACGAUCCGUGGCUGGUCUGAGAGGAUGAUCAGCCACACUGGGACUGAGACACGGCCCAGACUCCUACGGGAGGCAGCAGUGGGGAAUAUUGGACAAUGGGCGAAAGCCUGAUCCAGCCAUGCCGCGUGAGUGAAGAAGGCCCUCGGGUUGUAAAGCGCUUUUGUUGGGAAAGAAAAGCAAUCGGUUAAUACCCGGUUGUUCUGACGGUACCCAAAGAAUAAGCACCGGCUAACUUCGUGCCAGCAGCCGCAGUAAAAC